UAUUAAAAUUUUCAUCCAUUUGUACUAUUAAAAACUGGCGCGACAGGCAAAAUAAACCUCAUGUUAACGCACAGGAACCAAUUUUUAACAAUAGAAAUAAAUAAAAUUUUUAGUA
rfam:Gossypium hirsutum cultivar TM-1 chromosome 19, whole genome shotgun sequence